GACGGGGGAUGCAAGCGUUAUCCGGAAUCACUGGGCGUUAAGCGUCUGUAGGUGGUGAUGCAAGUCACUGGUGCAAAACUCUGGCUCAACCGGAGGAAAGCCAGUGAAACUGCAUGAAUAGAGUGUGGGAGAGGUAGAAGGAAUUCCCUGAGUAGCGGUGAACUGCGUAGAUACAGGGAAGAACACCGGAGGCGAAAGCGUUCUACUGGAACACAACUGACACUGAGAGACGAAAGCUAGGGGAGCGAAUGGG
rnacentral:rRNA from 1 species